rnacentral:rRNA from 1 species
AUUCCAGCUCCAAUAGCGUAUAUUAAAGUUGUUGCAGUUAAAAAGCUCGUAGUUGGAUUUGUGGUGUACUUCGGCGGCCCGUCACUAUGUGAUGGAGCUUGCUGAAGUCGCCAUCCUUGGGUGGAUCCUGUGUGGCAUUAAGUUGUCGUGCAGGGGAUGCCCAUCGUUUACUGUGAAAAAAUUAGAGUGUUCAAAGCAGGCUUAUGCCGUUGAAUAUAUUAGCAUGGAAUAAUAAGAUAGGACCUUGGUACUAUUUUGUUGGUUUGCGCACCAAGGUAAUGAUUAAUAGGGACAGUUGGGGGUAUUCGUAUUUCAUUGUCAGAGGAGAAAUUCCUGGAUUUUUGAAAGACGAACUACUGCGAAAGCAUUUACCAAGGAUGUUUUCAUUG